UAAACACAUUUGGUGUGUAUGAGCAAGGUCUGUGACCAGUGCAUAUCUGGUCCAGAAAUACAGGACAUGGUGUCAGGAGUAAACUAAGAACAGAAGCAGAAGGAAAAUUCCAAGAAAGUUUGCAUACAGGAGGAAUAAAACAACAAAUGUUGCAGGAUCUCCUCCUCACGCCACUUUUCAAUAUCCCAGAGAUCUUCAGCAUUGAGAAAUACUCAGAAUGGACAGACUGGAAACAAGAUUUUGCAUUGCCAUCAAGUUCCACAAAGAAACUUGAGCUAUACAGGUAUCUUCUUUAAUUUAUGCUGCUGGGAAGCAAGCAGAGCACAUCUUUAAAUCCUUUGACUUUACUGAAGAUAGUCACAAAGAUGGCUAGGAAAGGGUUCUGCCUAUGUUUGAUGCAUACUUCAUACUUCAGAGAAAUGUGGUUUAUGAAAGAGCAUGUUUUCACCAGAGAAUCCAAGAACUAGAGGAAAAUGUUGAAUGUUUUAUAAAAGCUCUGCAUACAUUGGCUGAAAAUUAUGAUUUGAGGGAAUGCAAAACAUGAGAAUAUCAGAAACAGGCUGGUUAUUGGUGGACAGAUAAAACCUUUGCACAGCAGCUAUCAUUGAAGACAGAUUCAGACUAUGUCUGCACUGGCAAUUGAACGACAAAACUUUUGCCUAUCAGAGGUGUUAACCACCCCACCCCCCAAAAAAGACAAAAUUUUUGCCGCGACAACUGCCGGUAUGAACAGCGCGUUGUCAGCAGGAGCGCUCUCCUGCCGACAUCACAAAAGCCACUCAUUCGGGGUGGAAAAUUUUGUCAGCAGGAGAGCUGACAAACAGCAGCUAUACUGCGCGACUUUUAGCGGCACGGCUGUAGUGGCACAGCCAGGUCACUAAAAGCUGUGUAGUAUAGAUAUAACCUUAAUCUUAGCCACAGCUAUACAGGAAGCAAAGCAGCCUGAGCUGGUGACUCAGCAAAACCUAGAGCAACUUGAAAAACCUGAAAGUAGCUUAGAAACUGUAAGCAGACACUUGAGUGUUACAAGUCAUUAUCGUUAAACCCCGGAGGCAAGGAGAGAGAACUCCCAGGCUAAGAGAGACAAAUUCCAGCCUAUAUGCACAAGGAGUGGAAAAAGUCAUAAUCGAAGAGAUGAUAUGUGUCCAGCCAGAGGCACACGAUGUAAUAAAUGCAUGAAAUAUGGACAUUUUGCAACUGUUGACUGCACCAAAGCAGUCAGGGAAUUGACUCGUGUUAUAGAGCCAUUGUUCCCGGGUUCUAUCACUUGUGAUGACCUAGAGCCUGCCUGGAGAGAGAAAGCGAAGAUUCAUGAUCAGGCUAGAGACUUAGGAGCUGACAUCACAGUCAUCUCCGAAGGGACAAUCACCAUCAGCCCCUCCCACACCUGACACAGCUCUCACUAGCCCUGAAGAGAUUCUGAACUGCACCAAAGAAACAAUUUACAAAGGCAAAAGCUUUGGAUUCAGAGCAGAUGGGAUCAAAAGAUGGCCAACAACUUCUCAGUCACAUUGUGUCAGUCAUCAUGAGCCUAGCGAGACUGGUGUAAGAACUCAAUGGCGUACUUAAUGUAAAUAUAGUACAGUACAAAUCAACUUAAGAGAUCACAUUGAACCAUACAGUGUAGAAACACGUCCACCAGGUAGACCUUGGAAGAGACUAGGUGCAGAUUGAUGCAAAUUCACAAGACAUCAUUUCCUCAUUGUCGUGGAUUACUUUUUCAGGUUUAUAGAAAUAAUGUACUUGAAAGACAUAACAUAUCACAGUGUUACUGAGAAACCGAAGUGCACUUGUGCUUAUUUCAGUGUUUCAGAACAACCAGUGACAGACAACAGGCCACAAUUCAUGGCAGCAGAAUUUGUCAUUCUGAUGAAAUAGCAGCUGACAUUACCCACAAACGAAUGGAGAGGCUGAGAGUGCUGUACAGACAGCCAAAAAAAUCCUACACCAGGAAGAUCCAUUCGUUGCUUUUCUGAGUUACAGAUCAACACCAACAGUAGGUGCUGGACUAAAUCUAGCACCUACAACUCCUGAUGGGAAGACAAUUCAGAACUACUAUUCCAACUUUAGAAAAGAACCAAUUUCCAAAGUGGUCACACAUUAAGAGAGUAGCCAAAUCAGAUAAAAAAGCUAAAAGAGCUUAGGAACGCAUUUACCGUAGAUGUCACUCAGCUAGAGAACUGCUGGGAAUAGAACCUGGUGACCAUGUUUGCAUCAAACUGGAUGGAGAAAAAGGAUGGACACCUCCAGCUGUUGUAAAGAAAUAGAAUCAGUGCUCAGAUCAUAUGUGUAUAUAUGAUCAAGACCAACAGUGGAGAGUUUAACAGAAGCUGUCAACAUCUACACUUUGUUCCUCUGAAAGAACAAUCAACGGAGCAGACUUUACAGAUGGCAGAUGCAGAAUGAGAAAACUCAAGGGUUCUAAACCAACUGCAGCCAGUCAUGCAAUUAACGGACAGACGCAUGACCAAGUCAUUACAUAUUAGGGCCAUGUAAUUAGGAAACCAGUAUAAUUCCACAUUUAACAGACUGAUACCAACUGAACUUCAUAGACAGUGUGAGAGUAUAAAUGUAUUGAAAAUGGUAGGAAUAUAGAACUUAAACAGGAGAAGGAACAGAAUGUUAAACUGCAUUAUAUUGUUCAGCCAUAAGGUGGCACUGUGUGCAAAAUACCUUAUUUGAGCUAACCUCAGCCAUACUUGCAGAGUAUUAAAGAAUCUUAUGAGUAACCAAGCUGGUGUGUGUAAGCAAGCUGUGUGACCAGUCCAGCUCUGGUGCAGAAGUACAUGCCAAAGAGUGAAUGGGACUUACCUACUUUGUCUCCUGCACCCAUCUGUAGCAUUGCUGGCAGCAGGUCCAGAGCAAGGCGGAAACUAUUACUAAAUGCUGGGUGUUUGUUUUCCAUUUACACCUAGUCAGCAAAGCUGGCUUGUCUAAAGCAGCUGGGAAUAAGGAGGAGGUGUCAGCACCACGUAACGAGCCAGUUCUCAGUAAGCGACCAGCAAGAAACUCUGCCCUAGAGGAUCCAACUCACCAUUCCUUACUGAUGUAAAGAGAAGCAUCAAUAGUUACGAUGGAUGGCAGCCUUUGCCUUUGAAUCUAGGAGGAGACUCAAAUCAAUUGGAGGGGGAGCAUCACAUUUUCCAUGAAGCCAUAGGAACAAGGGCGUGAACAGCUGGCCAUUGUCUGGACUGCUCUGUUUCAUUGCAGGGGAGAACCACGAGGGUACAUACCCCAGAAAUCUGGCUGCUGGCCACUUAGAACAGGUCAGAACAGGUACAGCAAGAGCAACAGAGCUGCAGGUUUCUCCCAUGCUGUCCACCGUCAGUGUGCCACAACACUGCUCUAGUGGGACCCUUCUUCAGGGAAAUAUUGUGCUGGGGUCUCCAUGUCCAUCUAGUCGCUGGUCUCAUUGCUGAGACAGGUGGACAGCAUUACUAAUUACUGCCAAUGAUGUGUUGCGGACACUAGAAACUGGACUGAAACCACCAAGGUUUCAUCUCACGAAGGAGUCUGCAAGCAAGAGGAUGCAUGUCCAUAAAGAAUCAUCUGCAUAAAGGCCCCUUGGUGUGCAAACUUUACAAGAGCUGACAUGAAUGUGUAUCUGAGUUAGAGACCUGUCAGUCAAGCUUUCAGCUGCUACAUAAUGGGAUGGACAGGCUGAGGCUUUCUUCCAGUUGAGCGAACUGGAAUGCACAUACUGGUGUGUUAACCAUUAGUGGGAUCUCUGUCUGAAGAAACCAGUGAAGACAUCACCCAGGAGUAUUGUGACAGGCUAUUUAAUCUGACAGAGAACAAGAAGCUCAUCCUUGUGACAGGCGCUUACUCAAACUGCUCCAAUUCAGGACAUUUAGGGGCUUUUGCUAACAAAAGUCACUGCUCCCUUUGCAUUUCCAAUACUGUCAUGACUGAGAUGAUGCUCCACGGGCAUGAGGGACACUAACCAGCGCCUUUGGCUCUACUGCUGCCUAGAAGACUGUACAAAAGUUUUGAGGGUGGUAAACUGGUAUGGAGGGAGUCCUUUCUAUGGGUUAGGCUGGCAAACAGAGGACUAGAACUCCUGGGUUCUGUCCCUGGCUUUAACAUUAUUGCUCAUUUUACUUUUGGCUGCCUGAGUUUCUCCAUCUGUAGAUUGGGGAUGAGAACAUUUAGAUACCUCAGAAGGUCUUGUGAAACUUAAUCAACGUUGAUAACGUGCCUUGGAUAAAAGGAGUUGGAAACAAUCAUUAUUUUUUUUUAUUUUAUUUUUUUUAUUACACCCUCUUCAACAUACAAAAAUAUCACAGUGUAUCUCCUCUCUUUGUCCAGCAGCAUGCCCCAGGAAGGGGUGGUCUUUUUGCAGGCCAUUCCUGGAGAAACCUUUGCCAGAGGCAUGGUGAUCAAGAAUGCCCAUUCCUAUCAGUAGACCGGGCCCAACAGGAAUGAAGGAAACUACGUCCAUUCUGCAUACCACUUGAGCUGACCAUUAUUGUUAUUAUUUAUAUUUCUUCUGGAGACCCGGAAUAAGGAUCAGAGCCCCAUUGUGCUAGGCGCUGUACAAAUGAGUACUCAAAAGAUUGUUCCUACCCCAGAGAGCAAGAACAAGGGAGUGAGGGAGCUUUUACCAAGACAGACAAGUAGAAAUAUUUAUGAGUAAGAACUCUUGAUAUCAGAGUGCUGCAGCAGUGAAUUAUUUUAGAACUCACUACCUCAAGGGGUUUGGACUUCCUUGCCUUGCAGUCAGCUAAAGAUGCUGAUGUGAAUUUGGUAGGAAUUAAACAUAUUCUCUCAACUACUGACAUUUCACUUGAACUGCCUUAAGUAGGAUUUCUUCUCCCCCACCCCGCCCCAACUUCCUCAGGCUGCAUGGUUUGUGAUGGAACAGGAAAAAAACCAACAGAAGGUUCCAAUCAAACUUGCUAACGUAGCUGUCAGUUGGCUGUCGCCCUGGCAAAAGCUUUGUUGAUGCAUAUUGAAAUGUCUCCAUGAGUGAUCAAAUGUUUUCCUGUAUUGCCAUGGAAAUAAAAAGGAAGCUGGAUUUCAACAAGACAGAAUCUUGCAUCUCUUUGUCUGAUUGUCAUCAUCAUGAUGACACAGUAUUAACAUUCUCCACUGAAAAUGAAUGACACAUUUCCAGCGCUAUCCUGUCUAGCGCCUGAGGUAGAAAGGCAUGAACUAUUCCCUUAGCCCUGCACCUCUUCACUUGCAUAAAGCUUGAAUAAUGAGCUUCGGUACCACAGUGUUGCCAGCUCUCACAAGUUUCCCAAGAUAUCUGGUGGUUUUCGUGCAUCCUCACCUCUUGUAGUUACGUUAUUUUGUGAGAAUGACAAUCUUCAUUUAAAAAUAAAAUACAUUUCCAGCC